ensembl:lncRNA
UAUGUACAUGUGACCACCCUACAUAUAGUUUGGGUCACAUAUUAAAUUAUUUAUAUAUAUUUCCUUUUUAUUUUUACAUAUGUUCAUUUCUAUUUACAUGUAUAUAUAAGUUUUAUUUUAAUUACUUAAAAUAUAUGAUGAGUUUGCACUGAAUAGUUCAGCUGCAUUUUCUGAACUCUGGGUGGCAGUUGAGAGAGUAGAGUUACCAUGACGACUGCAGCGCAUCCUCAGACAACAAAGAGGACCGUUAAGGAAACAACUAACUCUUGUCUCUCUCUCUCAUUUAAUGUCAAGUUGAUUACUGCUUACAGUCUUCCCGACUGCCCGGGACCUGUAACAGAUUUUGGGGGCUCGUCCGGGAUCAGCGUUACUCUGAAGACGCCUGGUCCAGUGAUUUUGAACCUAGGGACAGCAAAGCACAUUCUUCAGGAAGGGAGCAACGUGUGUGUGAGAGGAUAAGGGGAGCAGGUGACCAGCAUCAUCCUGACCAGGCGCAUCACCACAUAACCAGAUCUACCUGGAAGUGCAUCAUGUCCGACGAAGAAAGAAAGAGACUUGUCUGGAACAUCAAGAAGAAAGUCUACACUUUGAACACAGUUGAGAGAGUAGAGUUACCAUGACGACUGCAGCGCAUCCUCAGACAACAAAGAGGACCGUUAAGGAAACAACUAACUCUUGUCUCUCUCUCUCAUUUAAUGUCAAGGUUAGUUAAAUUAAUUAAAUUUCAUACCAAACUGUAAUUUACAUGUUUUAAUGUCCAAAUAAUUUGUUUCAGUUGAUUAUUUAUUUUAUUAAUAAUUUUAAGACACUUACAGUAUGUCAUAGAAAAGUUUACUCAUGUAACACUAUCACUUACCUGAAAUAAGUUACUCACUUGAGUUGUUU